GACGAACGCUGGCGGCGUGCUUAACACAUGCAAGUCGAGCGAGGCCCCGCCUUAGGGAGGGUGGCCUAGCGGCGAACGGGUGAGUAACACGUGGGCAACCGGCCCUCAGCUCUGGGAUAACUCCGGGAAACCGGGGCUACUACCGGAUACGACCUCCACGGUGAUCUGCGGAGGUGGAAAGUUUUUCGGCUGAGGAUGGGCCCGCGGCCUAUCAGCUAGUUGGGGGGGUAGUGGCCCACCAAGGCGACGACGGGUAGCCGGCCUGAGAGGGGGACCGGCCCCCCUGGGACUGAGACAGGGACCAGAGUCGUACGGGAGGCAGCAGUGGCGAAUAUUGCGCAAUGGGGCCAAGCCUGACGCAGCGACGCCGCGUGAGGGAAGAAGGCCUUCGGGUUGUAAACCUCUUUCAGCAGGGACGAAGCGAAAGUGACGGUACCUGCAGAAGAAGCACCGGCCAACUACGUG
rnacentral:rRNA from 1 species